UUAAGCGACUAAGCGUACACGGUGGAUGCCCUGGCAGUCAGAGGCGAUGAAGGACGUGCUAAUCUGCGAUAAGCGUCGGUAAGGUGAUAUGAACCGUUAUAACCGGCGAUUUCCGAAUGGGGAAACCCAGUGUGAUUCGUCACACUAUCAUUAACUGAAUCCAUAGGUUAAUGAGGCGAACCGGGGGAACUGAAACAUCUAAGUACCCCGAGGAAAAGAAAUCAACCGAGAUUCCCCCAGUAGCGGCGAGCGAACGGGGAGCAGCCCAGAGCCUGAAUCAGUGUGUGUGUUAGUGGAAGCGUCUGGAAAGGCGCGCGAUACAGGGUGACAGCCCCGUACACAAAAAUGCACAUGCUGUGAGCUCGAUGAGUAGGGCGGGACACGUGGUAUCCUGUCUGAAUAUGGGGGGACCAUCCUCCAAGGCUAAAUACUCCUGACUGACCGAUAGUGAACCAGUACCGUGAGGGAAAGGCGAAAAGAACCCCGGCGAGGGGAGUGAAAAAGAACCUGAAACCGUGUACGUACAAGCAGUGGGAGCACGCUUAGGCGUGUGACUGCGUACCUUUUGUAUAAUGGGUCAGCGACUUAUAUUCUGUAGCAAGGUUAACCGAAUAGGGGAGCCGAAGGGAAACCGAGUCUUAACUGGGCGUUAAGUUGCAGGGUAUAGACCCGAAACCCGGUGAUCUAACCAUGGGCAGGUUGAAGGUUGGGUAACACUAACUGGAGGACCGAACCGACUAAUGUUGAAAAAUUAGCGGAUGACUUGUGGCUGGGGGUGAAAGGCCAAUCAAACCGGGAGAUAGCUGGUUCUCCCCGAAAGCUAUUUAGGUAGCGCCUCGUGAAUUCAUCUCCGGGGGUAGAGCACUGUUUCGGCAAGGGGGUCAUCCCGACUUACCAACCCGAUGCAAACUGCGAAUACCGGAGAAUGUUAUCACGGGAGACACACGGCGGGUGCUAACGUCCGUCGUGAAGAGGGAAACAACCCAGACCGCCAGCUAAGGUCCCAAAGUCAUGGUUAAGUGGGAAACGAUGUGGGAAGGCCCAGACAGCCAGGAUGUUGGCUUAGAAGCAGCCAUCAUUUAAGAAAGUGUAAUAGCUCACUGGUCGAGUCGGCCUGCGCGGAAGAUGUAACGGGGCUAAACCAUGCACCGAAGCUGCGGCAGCGACGCUUAUGCGUUGUUGGGUAGGGGAGCGUUCUGUAAGCCUGUGAAGGUGUGCUGUGAGGCAUGCUGGAGGUAUCAGAAGUGCGAAUGCUGACAUAAGUAACGAUAAAGCGGGUGAAAAGCCCGCUCGCCGGAAGACCAAGGGUUCCUGUCCAACGUUAAUCGGGGCAGGGUGAGUCGACCCCUAAGGCGAGGCCGAAAGGCGUAGUCGAUGGGAAACAGGUUAAUAUUCCUGUACUUGGUGUUACUGCGAAGGGGGGACGGAGAAGGCUAUGUUGGCCGGGCGACGGUUGUCCCGGUUUAAGCGUGUAGGCUGGUUUUCCAGGCAAAUCCGGAAAAUCAAGGCUGAGGCGUGAUGACGAGGCACUACGGUGCUGAAGCAACAAAUGCCCUGCUUCCAGGAAAAGCCUCUAAGCAUCAGGUAACAUCAAAUCGUACCCCAAACCGACACAGGUGGUCAGGUAGAGAAUACCAAGGCGCUUGAGAGAACUCGGGUGAAGGAACUAGGCAAAAUGGUGCCGUAACUUCGGGAGAAGGCACGCUGAUAUGUAGGUGAAGUCCCUCGCGGAUGGAGCUGAAAUCAGUCGAAGAUACCAGCUGGCUGCAACUGUUUAUUAAAAACACAGCACUGUGCAAACACGAAAGUGGACGUAUACGGUGUGACGCCUGCCCGGUGCCGGAAGGUUAAUUGAUGGGGUCAGCGCAAGCGAAGCUCUUGAUCGAAGCCCCGGUAAACGGCGGCCGUAACUAUAACGGUCCUAAGGUAGCGAAAUUCCUUGUCGGGUAAGUUCCGACCUGCACGAAUGGCGUAAUGAUGGCCAGGCUGUCUCCACCCGAGACUCAGUGAAAUUGAACUCGCUGUGAAGAUGCAGUGUACCCGCGGCAAGACGGAAAGACCCCGUGAACCUUUACUAUAGCUUGACACUGAACAUUGAGCCUUGAUGUGUAGGAUAGGUGGGAGGCUUAGAAGUGUGGACGCCAGUCUGCAUGGAGCCGACCUUGAAAUACCACCCUUUAAUGUUUGAUGUUCUAACGUUGACCCGUAAUCCGGGUUGCGGACAGUGUCUGGUGGGUAGUUUGACUGGGGCGGUCUCCUCCUAAAGAGUAACGGAGGAGCACGAAGGUUGGCUAAUCCUGGUCGGACAUCAGGAGGUUAGUGCAAUGGCAUAAGCCAGCUUGACUGCGAGCGUGACGGCGCGAGCAGGUGCGAAAGCAGGUCAUAGUGAUCCGGUGGUUCUGAAUGGAAGGGCCAUCGCUCAACGGAUAAAAGGUACUCCGGGGAUAACAGGCUGAUACCGCCCAAGAGUUCAUAUCGACGGCGGUGUUUGGCACCUCGAUGUCGGCUCAUCACAUCCCGGGGCUGAAGUAGGUCCCAAGGGUAUGGCUGUUCGCCAUUUAAAGUGGUACGCGAGCUGGGUUUAGAACGUCGUGAGACAGUUCGGUCCCUAUCUGCCGUGGGCGCUGGAGAACUGAGGGGGGCUGCUCCUAGUACGAGAGGACCGGAGUGGACGCAUCACUGGUGUUCGGGUUGUCAUGCCAAUGGCACUGCCCGGUAGCUAAAUGCGGAAGAGAUAAGUGCUGAAAGCAUCUAAGCACGAAACUUGCCCCGAGAUGAGUUCUCCCUGACUCCUUGAGAGUCCUGAAGGAACGUUGAAGACGACGACGUUGAUAGGCCGGGUGUGUAAGCGCAGCGAUGCGUUGAGCUAACCGGUACUAAUGAACCGUGAGGCUUAACCUU
rnacentral:rRNA from 1 species